UCAAACUAUAUUAAAAUAGGGCAUCUCUUAUCUCUAGGAAAUUAAUUUUUUAUUACCUCCUCCAACAAUACUACAUACUCUUUCUUUGCUUCAAUUAAAUACUUUUUUUUUCUACUUACCCAAUGCUCAUAGUCAUCAUCGCCAUGGCCGAUCAACCACUGUUGUUGCCGAGCACCAUCACUAAACAAUCAAUCAAACCUACUCAACCACCAAUCAACCAUCAACCACCGUUAUCGUUGAUUGCCAUCACCAAACACAACUAUCAUCGAUCAAAUCCUCAUCAUCAACCUAGCUCCAUCACUGCCGCUGACCACCAUCAUUGAACCGAGCCAUCAUCGAUGAAACCCUUAGCAUCGACCACCGCCACUACCGAUAGCCAUUCACCAAAACUAGCCACAAUCAACAGUGACCAAGAAGG
rnacentral:lncRNA from 1 species